AGAGUUUGAUCCUGGCUCAGAACGAACGUUGGCGGCGUGGAUUAGGCAUGCAAGUCGAACGAAUCCCACGGGGGGUAACUCCCGUGGGGGAAGUGGCGAAAGGGGCAGUAAGGCGUGGGUAACCUACCCCGGGGAUGGGCAUAGCCGUUCUAACGAGCGGGUAAUUCCCAGCGAUCUGUAAGGGGGGCAUCCCCCGGACAGGAAACGAGUUUCGCCUCGGGAGGGGCUCACGUGGUAUUACCUAGUUGGCGGGGUAACGGCCCACCAAGGGGUAGAUGCCUAGCGGGUGUGAGAGCACGACCCGCGCCACUGGCACUGCGACACUGGCCAGACUCCUACGGGAGGCUGCAGUCGAGGAUCUUCGGCAAUGGGCGCAAGCCUGACCGAGCGACGCCGCGUGCGCGAUGAAGGCCUUCGGGUUGUAAAGCGCUGUCGCGGGGGAGGAAAGCCCGAAAGGGCCUGACCGACCCCGGGAGGAAGCACGGGCUAAGUUCGUGCCAGCCGCCGCGGUAAUAC
rnacentral:rRNA from 1 species